ACAUGCAGUCGAGCGAACAGAUGAGAAGCUUGCUUCUCUGAUGUUAGCGGCGGACGGGUGAGUAACACGUGGGUAACCUACCUAUAAGACUGGGAUAACUCCGGGAAACCGGGGCUAAUACCUGAUAAUAUUUUGAACCGCAUGGUUCGAUAGUGAAAGACGGCUUCGGCUGUCACUUAUAGAUGGACCCGCGCCGUAUUAGCUAGUUGGUAAGGUAAUGGCUUACCAAGGCAACGAUACGUAGCCGACCUGAGAGGGUGAUCGGCCACACUGGAACUGAGACACGGUCCAGACUCCUACGGGAGGCAGCAGUAGGGAAUCUUCCGCAAUGGGCGAAAGCCUGACGGAGCAACGCCGCGUGAGUGAUGAAGGUCUUAGGAUCGUAAAACUCUGUUGUUAGGGAAGAACAAAUUUGUUAGUAACUGAACAAGUCUUGACGGUACCUAACCAGAAAGCCACGGCUAACUACGUGCCAGCAGCCGCGGUAAUACGUAGGUGGCAAGCGUUAUCCGGAAAUUAUUGGGCGUAAAGCGCGCGUAGGCGGUUUCUUAAGUCUGAUGUGAAAGUCCACGGCUCAACCGUGGAAGGUCAUUGGAAACUGGGGAACUUGAGUGCAGAAGAGGAGAGUGGAAUUUCCAUGUGUAGCGGUGAAAUGCGCAGAGAUAUGGAGGAACACCAGUGGCGAAAGCGGCUCUCUGGUCUGUAACUGACGCUGAUGUGCGAAAGCGUGGGGAUCAAACAGGAUUAGAUACCCUGGUAGUCCACGCCGUAAACGAUGAGUGCUAAGUGUUAGGGGGUUUCCGCCCCUUAGUGCUGCAGCUAACGCAUUAAGCACUCCGCCUGGGGAGUACGACCGCAAGGUUGAAACUCAAAGGAAUUGACGGGGACCCGCACAAGCGGUGGAGCAUGUGGUUUAAUUCGAAGCAACGCGAAGAACCUUACCAAAUCUUGACAUCCUUUGAUCGCUCUAGAGAUAGAGUUUUCCCCUUCGGGGGACAAAGUGACAGGUGGUGCAUGGUUGUCGUCAGCUCGUGUCGUGAGAUGUUGGGUUAAGUCCCGCAACGAGCGCAACCCUUAAGCUUAGUUGCCAUCAUUAAGUUGGGCACUCUAGGUUGACUGCCGGUGACAAACCGGAGGAAGGUGGGGAUGACGUCAAAUCAUCAUGCCCCUUAUGAUUUGGGCUACACACGUGCUACAAUGGAUAAUACAAAGGGCAGCAAAACCGCGAGGUCAAGCAAAUCCCAUAAAAUUAUUCUCAGUUCGGAUUGUAGUCUGCAACUCGACUACAUGAAGCUGGAAUCGCUAGUAAUCGUAGAUCAGCAUGCUACGGUGAAUACGUUCCCGGGUCUUGUACACACCGCCCGUCACACCACGAGAGUUUGUAACACCCGAAGCCGGGUGGAGUAACCUUUUAUUAGGAGCUAGCCGUCGAAG
rnacentral:rRNA from 1 species